CCCUAGAGGAGCCUGUUCCAUAAUCGAUAAACCCCGAUCCACCUCACCCUCUCUUGCUUAGCCUAUAUACCGCCAUCUUCAGCAAACCCUGAUAAAGGUUACAAAGUGAGCACAAACGCCCUGCCGCCGCAAAAACGUUAGGUCAAGGUGUAGCCCAUGAGAGGGGUAAAAAUGGGCUACAUUUUCUACACCAGAAAACCCCACGAAAACUCUUAUGAAACCUAAGAGUCCAAGGAGGAUUUAGCAGUAAAUUAAGAAUAGAGUGCUUAAUUGAACCAGGCCAUAAAGCGCGUACACACCGGCCGUCACUCCCCUCAAAUGUAUUUAAAGGACAUCUUAACUAAACACCCUGAUAUUUACACAGAGGGGAUAAGUCGUAACAUGGUAAGUGUACUGGAAGGUGCACUUGGAC
rnacentral:rRNA from 1 species